GUUAAAUCAGCAGUGUUAAAGUGUAUUUACUCUAAUAGAGUCAUUAUAACGACAGCUGGAGCAAAACGCCUCCCAGUGUGGGUGAUAAUUCGCGGAGUUAAAAAACGCAGUGUCAAUGUUACACUAGAAAGCUCCUCCCACCACAGACUCCUUUUCAAACUGAGAGGAUUUUUCACGGCGCCAUUUUCUUCACAUCAGUUACACGUAGUUCGAUGAAGAGCACUGACUAUAAGAAAUUACUGUCUACAGGAAGCAUGCCAGAGGAAUUGUAACCUUUUUCCCUUACCUCAGUGGCCCUUACUCCAAAAAUGGCUAUUGUCUGUACAUGUCACUCUCCAAGGAACAUUAUUAUGAUGGCGAGAGUGGCACUGGGUACUUGGCCUGGAGGAUUAAAACCAUACAGAGAUGCACCGCUAAAGGGAGGCGAUUAUCAUCUGGAGCACCAGGAGAUGGAUCAUCGAGUGAAGACCAGUGUGGUGGACCAACUGUCAGACGAGAGUUGCAGUUUGUUACAGAGAAGGUGCUGAGUGAGAAUGAGUGCAAGGAUACAAUCUCUCUGAUGAAACAUUCAGCUGAUGAAGACACAGUCAAGAAGAAGAUGAAGUUGACAUUUGUUUAUCAACACAGCAUGGUCCUUGACCUCCUGCUGUCAAGCAACA